rnacentral:rRNA from 1 species
UACGUAGGCAGCAAGCGUUGUUCGGAAUUACUGGGCGUAAAGAGUGUGUAGGCGGUGCUCCAAGUCUGGUGUGAAAUCUCCCGGCUCAACUGGGAGGGUGCAUUAGAAACUGGAAUGCUAGAGGAUGGGAGAGGUAAGCGGAAUUCCUGGUGUAGCGGUGAAAUGCGUAGAUAUCAGGAGGAACACCUGUGGUGUAGACAGCUUACUGGACCAUUUCUGACGCUGAGACACGAAAGCGUGGGUAGCAAACGGG